rnacentral:ncRNA from 1 species
AACUAGUUUAGCCAAGCGUUCAUAGCGACGUCGCUUUUUGAUCCUUUGAUGUCGGCUCUUCCUAUCAUUGUGAAGCGGAAUUCAGCAAGCGUUGGAUUGUUCACCCACUAAUGGGGAAAGUGAGUUAGGUUUAAUCCGCCGCGAGACAGGUU